rnacentral:rRNA from 1 species
GGUACUAAGACUUAUAAAUUUAGUAUCUAGCCUGCCCAGUGAGAGGAUAUUUAACGGCCGCAGUAUUUUGACUGUGCAAAGGUAGCAUAAUCAUUUGUCUAUUAAUUGUGGACUGGAAUGAAAGGUUGGAUUUAAAUUUGCUUUUUUGGUUAAUUUAAUGAAUUUAAAAUCUUUGUAGAGAAUGCAAAGUAGUUAUGAAAAGACGAGAAGACCCUAUUAAGCUUUAUACUUACUGCCGUUAAAAAGAUAGGAAAAGAGAAUAGUAUGUUGUAUUUUACUGGGGCGGUAAGAGGUAGUUAGCAUUAUUUUUGAUCCAUUAGUUUUUGAUUAUAUGAUUAAGUUACUGUAGGGAUAACAGCUUAAUAUUAUUUAAGAGAUCUUAUUGAUAAUAAUGUUUGUGACCUCGAUGUUGAUUUAAAAAUACCUUAAUGAAGUACAAGAUUUAUAAGGUGGUUUGUUCAACCAUUAAAAUUUUAUG